AACGAACGCUGGCGGCAGGCUUAACACAUGCAAGUCGAACGCAUCCUUCGGGGUGAGUGGCAGACGGGUGAGUAACGCGUGGGAACGUGCCCUUCAGUUCGGGAUAACCCAGGGAAACUUGGGCUAAUACCGGAUACGUGCGAGAGCAGAAAGAUUUAUCGCUGAAGGAUCGGCCCGCGUCUGAUUAGCUAGUUGGUGGGGUAAUGGCCCACCAAGGCGACGAUCAGUAGCUGGUCUGAGAGGAUGAUCAGCCACAUUGGGACUGAGACACGGCCCCAACUCCUACGGGAGACAGCAGUGGGGAAUAUUGGACAAUGGGCGCAAGCCUGAUCCAGCCAUGCCGCGUGAGUGAUGAAGGCCUUAGGGUAGUAAAGCUCUUUCGUCCGGGACGAUAAUGACGGUACCGGAAGAAGAAGCCCCGGCUAACUUCGUGCCAGCCGCCGCCGUAA
rnacentral:rRNA from 1 species